UCGAACGAGAAAGUGGUAGCAAUACCAUGAGUACAGUGGCGCACGGGUGAGUAACACGUGACUAACCUACCCUGGAGUGGGGGAUAACUGAGGGAAACCUUAGCUAAUACCGCAUAAUACCUACGGGUCAAAGGAGCAAUUCGCUUCAGGAGGGGGUCGCGGCCGAUUAGUUAGUUGGCGGGGUAAUGGCCCACCAAGACAGUGAUCGGUAUCCGGCCUGAGAGGGCGCACGGACACACUGGAACUGAAACACGGUCCAGACUCCUACGGGAGGCAGCAGUGGGGAAUUUUGCGCAAUGGGGGAAACCCUGACGCAGCAACGCCGCGUGGAGGAUGAAGUCCUUCGGGACGUAAACUCCUUUCGAUCGGGACGAUAAUGACGGUACCGGAAGAAGAAGCCCCGGCUAACUUCGUGCCAGCAGCCGCGGUAAUACGAGGGGGGCGAGCGUUGUUCGGAAUUAUUGGGCGUAAAGGGUGCGUAGGCGGUUUGGUAAGUCUUAUGUGAAAUCUAUGGGCUCAACUCAUAGACUGCAUGAGAAACUGCCGGGCUUGAGUAUGGGAGAGGUGAGUGGAAUUCCUGGUGUAGCGGUGAAAUGCGUAGAUAUCAGGAGGAACACCUGUGGCGAAAGCGGCUCACUGGACCAUAACUGACGCUGAUGCACGAAAGCUAGGGGAGCAAACAGGAUUAGAUACCCUGGUAGUCCUAGCCCUAAACGAAUGACUGCUUGGUGUGACGGGUACCCAAUCCCGCCGUGCCGUAGCUAACGCGUUAAGC
rnacentral:rRNA from 1 species